GCCUCUCUGGAGCCAAACUUGACCAAAUCAGAGAAAUGUUCCUCAACACGAAGGAGCAUUGUGCCGCACAUUGUCCCAGGAAGCUGGAGUGAGCUCACUGGAAAAGACAUGCAGGAGAUCCCACGCCAGACCUCGGGGAAUGACUGUGGUGUUUUCAUGCUCAUG